rnacentral:lncRNA from 8 species
AUCUUUGUAGAGUCUUACUGCCUUUGGUCCACUAUGACACUGCUGUCAAUUUAUCAUCAAUAUGUCCACUCCUAUUUAUAGAGUUGAUCUCAACAAAACUUUUGUUGUUGGGAUCUCUUGAAAAUGAUCUUGCGAUCUCAAAAAAGCAACUUUUGUUAUGAUGUGAUCAAUAGAUAAAUAAGUUAUGAUCUUGACAUAAUGAGAAUCUUUUUUUUUUAUUGAUAUGUGCUCUUUGGACUUCUGUACUUUUGAGGUGAGAGGCCAAAACUUUAUUUGUGUAGCUGUGUUUGACAGAGAAAACUGGUGACAUGAUAGUGUAUGCAAAAGUUUGCAUAAUGGCUGACUGGCUGUCUCCCUUGUACAUUCAUUAUUUUAGUCUCAGCACAUUCCAGGAGUGUUUUCAAUCCCUCUCUUUCUCUCUGAAAAGUCUUCAGAUCCGUCUCCAAUGGACACCAGAGACCAUGACAGUCUAUCUUUGGAGGAGUACUCUGCAGACGCUUCCUGUAUCCCAUAUUAGAAGAGUGUGCAACGGCGAAGAGCCGGCCGUCCAACAGAUUGGGUUCUCUCUCCAGAAGCCAUAUGGGACCACAGAGAGCUCAGUCUGGUUUUCAUCUUCAGGGAAGUCAGUCAGCUGCCCCACCCUGGCCCUAUACACAAUGGAUUGGGAGCAGGCCUGUGACUUUGACUUUUAACUCUGUCUGCAGAUUCCAGGCUCUGCCGCCAGUCUGGCCCAAUAUGCUACGCAGAACCUCCCUUGAUGUGUCAGCCAAAGCAGCUUUGAAUCCAAUCAUAAGGUCAUAGGUUCCCCCGUAAUAGUCCAUCCAUGUUCCUGGAGAGGGGACACCAGGGAAUUGUGCUUAUGGUCAGCAAUGUGGAAAAAUACAUAGAUUUCUUUGCCACAAAUGUCAGAUCCUUCAGUGAUGUAUUUCAGCAAAAUAGAUAAAUAGUCCAGUAAAUAUAUACCAUAGUUAAUCUGGGGAGAUAACAAUUUACUCCUUUUAAUUGAACACUAUGGCUAAUGGUCAUUUAUCAAAAUCUCUGUGAAUUUUUCUUAUCAGGUGAAAGCACAGAAUCUAAUUUGGUGAUGGAAUAAUACCAUUAUCAGCUAUUCUGGCACAAUUCCUGCCAAGUAUACACUCAAGCUCAUGCUACUUGUAAUACUGCCAGUCAUAGGAAAGAAGAGGGUCCAUUUUGUGCAUUGUCUUAUCAGUUAAAAAGCACUAAAUCUAACAUGGUGAUUGAAUAUCUAUUGCUGUAAGAUAGAGCCAAGUAUACACUGUAUCUUCCAGAAUUCACCAUCAAACUCAUUCUACUUCUCUCACUACUUCCCAGACAGUUAGACCCAUAGGGAAUCAAGAGAUUCCAUGCGAACUUGAUAGAAUGAUGCCACACCAUGUUUUGUUGUAUAGUAAUGCCAAACAUUUUCCACAAUCAAACUCAUGUUACUUCUCAAGCUACUGAACAGGCUGUUAUAACUAAGGAAGUGAGAUAGUCCAUGUUGUGCUCCUCGUUGGGAAUAUGAAUGAACAAGUUAAUUAAAGAAAAUCUGAA